GCUUGAUAAAGGCAAACCUGGUGAAAAUCAGGGACGCAAAGUUACCGGCCUAAGGGGAAACCUAGGGUAGCGGAACCACCGGG
rnacentral:ncRNA from 1 species